AUGAGAUUUUGUAAAGCAAAGUCAUGCAGAUUUCUCAUUAUGGAAGUCGCUGAUCCCAGAGCAUUCUCAUCCAAAAGGAAGGAAAUGAGGAUGGGCAGCAGACAGGCCACCAGCUGAGAGCCUGGAAAGUAAACAAAUGAUUUUUUCCACAAUAGAGGAUACUAACGAGUAAAUGUAUGGGUACGAAACAGCUGGAUUUGGAUACUGAAAAAUGGAAAGUAGGAGCUGAUAGGUCUUGAUUUGUACCUAAUAAGAGCCACCACUUUGAGGCUGCUACAGAAAGCUCUUGUGAGGCCAGAAGCAAUAAACAGGACAGAAGAACAAAAGGAGAAGACUAUACAUCAAAGAUACAAAUCACCCUUUAUUUGAUUCACUGUGAUGAUAUCUGAAUGAUUAUUUUUGUAAACAGGUUGUUAAAAUUCUAAUUCUUCCAAGGAAUAGUAGUUUAGCUACUGACAAUAUCCAAGCUAACAUGAAGAGGUGAAUGAGAGGAUGUGAAGCCAUACCCAGAGAUGUUUCACUUGUACUACACACAACAGAUUCUCAGAAUGACACAGACACAUAAGCAAUACUUUAAAAAAUAAUGAUGUCAUGUGAUUAAUUUGGCGUAUGGGUUAACAUUCACCUUCUGCACUUCGUCUUUUCUCCUUCACAUGUUCUUGAGCUGCACAGAUAAUCUGCCUGACCACUUCAAGAGAAGCCAACUGAAUGGAAGGUGAUUCUCGGGUCAAAAUUACUCGAUGUAGUACAUUCAACAACUCGAUACCCAAGUCCUAUCACAGAAAAUAUUUGGGAGCUACAUGAACCAAGACGACGCUCUCUUGGUGAAAUGAGGUGUAAGAUGCAGAUGUAUAUGAAGGGCAGGGUGCACGGAAGCAGAAAGAGACACGGACAGUACAAUGCAGAACCUUCCCAUCACUGCAGAAAGUUCAGCCGGAAUGCUGCUACACAGAGGGGCUGGCUGGUGACAGCAGAAGAAGUUGGGAGGCAAAUUCGGAAGGCAAAGUUAAGAGAGCAAAAUCCUGAAGCGCAGAGAGCCAGAGCCUACUCAGUGUGCUGAGAUCUGCAUGGACUAAGUCAAGCAGCCCGUCUGAUGAGCUCGACCCAUUUCUGACACUCUCUUCUGAACAGGCAGCAGUCUUCAAAGUGACAUCAGGUGGUGUCUCUGAAGUGAAGGCAGGUCUAAGUGCCGCUCCUACCUGGCAAGAAAUUACAUGCUCAUUCAAGAAUCAAUAAGAUGUGAUGGAGCCUGCUAACCAACUGGUGAACUGCUCUGGACGCCCUAACUCCCAGCCACCAGAAGCUGCCUCUGAAUAAUAAUGAGAGGCAUCCUUGGAUGAAUGCUACUUAAGAUUACAUGUGAUGCAUAUAAUGUAAUGUGGGAUGAUUUUGUUAUCUUCCUUGUUCCUCCUACAUUGCUCAAUGCACCAGUCAAAAUACCAGUUAAAAAGAUUACAGAAUGAGUUAACAGAAAUCUGAAUUCUUUCUAAGUCCAGAAAAAAAAAGGUUAUAUAUUCUAGCAGUAAUAAUUUGAAGAUAAAACAUGCAUGUAGCCUAAAUGGAGUGUUUAUUAAUGAUUUAGUGUUAUCUUAAGCUUAUUUAGCUAUCUUGUAAGGAAUUUCAUUACCGAAGUCCUUUACUGCCCCAAAUUAUCAAGAAGGUUUUAAUUAUGAAAAUAAACCUUUAGCAUUAUAAAA